rnacentral:rRNA from 1 species
GACGAACGCUGGCGGCGUGCUUAACACAUGCAAGUCGAACGGAAAGGCCCUGCUUUUGUGGGGUGCUCGAUUGGCGAACGGGUGAGUAACACGUGAGUAACCUGCCCUUGACUUUGGGAUAACUUCAGGAAACUGGGGCUAAUACCGGAUAGAAUCUCCUGCUGCAUGUUGGGGGUUGGAAAGUUUCGGCGGUUGGGGAUGGACUCGCGGCUUAUCAGCUUGUUUGUGGGGUAGUGGCUUACCAAGGCUUUGACGGGUAGCCGGCCUGGGAGGGUGACCGGCGACAUGGGGACUGAGAGACGGACCAGAAGCGUACGGGAGGCAGCAGGGGGGAAUAUUGCACAAUGGGCGGAAGCCUGAGGCAGAAACGCCGCGUGCGGGAUGAUGGCCUACGGGUUGUAAACAGAUUUCGCCUGUGACGAAGCGUGAGUGACGGUAAUGGGUAAAGAAGCACCGGCUAACUACGUG